rnacentral:miRNA from 1 species
GGGCAAUGUAUCUAGCGCAACA